rnacentral:tRNA from 1 species
GCGCCAUUAGCUCAGUUGGAUAGAGCAGCAGCCUUCUAAGCUGUCGGUCGCUGGUUCAAACCCAGCAUGGUGCACCA